rnacentral:rRNA from 1 species
UACGUAGGUGGCAAGCGUUGUCCGGAUUUAUUGGGCGUAAAGCGAGCGCAGGCGGUUUGAUAAGUCUGAAGUUAAAGGCUGUGACUCAACCAUAGUUCGCUUUGGAAACUGUCAAACUUGAGUGCAGAAGAGGAGAGUGGAAUUCCAUGUGUAGCGGUGAAAUGCGUAGAUAUAUGGAGGAACACCGGUGGCGAAAGCGGCUCUCUGGUCUGUAACUGACGCAGAGGCUCGAAAGCGUGGGGAGCGAACA